rnacentral:rRNA from 1 species
GACGAACGCUGGCGGCGUGCCUAAUACAUGCAAGUAGAACGCUGAAGAGAGGAGCUUGCUCUUCUUGGAUGAGUUGCGAACGGGUGAGUAACGCGUAGGUAACCUGCCUUGUAGCGGGGGAUAACUAUUGGAAACGAUAGCUAAUACCGCAUAACAAUGGAUGACACAUGUCAUUUAUUUGAAAGGGGCAAUUGCUCCACUACAAGAUGGACCUGCGUUGUAUUAGCUAGUAGGUGAGGUAAUGGCUCACCUAGGCGACGAUACAUAGCCGACCUGAGAGGGUGAGCGGCCAGACUGGGACUGAGACACGGCCCAGACUCCUACGGGAGGCAGCAGUAGGGAAUCUUCGGCAAUGGGGGCAACCCUGACCGAGCAACGCCGCGUGAGUGAAGAAGGUUUUCGGAUCGUAAAGCUCUGUUGUAAGUCAAGAACGGGUGUGAGAGUGGAAAGUUCACACUGUGACGGUAGCUUACCAGAAAGGGACGGCUAACUACGUG